rnacentral:misc_RNA from 1 species
GACAUGGAGAGGUUUCAGCUUUUGAAUCACUUCCAUUUUCCUUGGCCAGUAAAUCAUACGUCGGUGAGCCCAGAUCGCAGGCUUAUAGUUGUGGUUGGGGAUCACACAGAUGGAUUGAUUGUUGAUUCACGAAAUGGAACGGCUAUAGGCACAGUUGUUGGUCAUCGAGAUUACUCAUUUGCUUCUGCUUGGCACCCUGAUGGUCGCAUGUUUGCUACUGGGAAUCAAGACAAGACAUGCCGUGUAUGGGAUAUAAGGAAUUUCUCAACACCCGUGGCAGUUCUAAAGGGACAUAUUGGUGCUGCUCGAUCGAUUCGUUAUUCAUCUGAUGGUCAGUUCAUGGUGGUUGCUGAACCUGCAGAUUUCGUACAUGUGUAUAGCACGAGUGCAGAUU